rnacentral:lncRNA from 1 species
GAAAAAAAAGGUAAAGGUCAAAAUACCACAAAAAUCCUAAAACUUAAUAUAAAAAACAAAUUGUAGUGAAUUUCAGAAGACUCUAGUGACAACCAGUAUUUAAGAGGUUGAAAGUUGCUAUGUUUCGCAAAAGAGGAAACAAAUUAGUUCCAGCUAAAAGAUUAGGGAAGUGACAAUCUUAUACAUUAAUGUAUUAUUCUUAAGAACUCCAUCACUGAUUAAUGUAUUAUCCAAAAAUUAUACGAUACGG